rnacentral:rRNA from 1 species
GUGGGGAAUUUUGCGCAAUGGGGGCAACCCUGACGCAGCAACGCCGCGUGCGGGAUGAAGGUCUUCGGAUUGUAAACCGCUUUCAGUAGGGAAUAAGUAUGAAGGUACCUACAGAAGAAGCACCGGCUAAAUACGUGCCAGCAGCCGCGGUAAUACGUAUGGUGCAAGCGUUAUCCGGAAUCAUUGGGCGUAAAGCGCGCGUAGGCGGCUUGUUAAGCAGGAAUUUAAAUCUUAGGGCUCAACCUUAAGUCGGUUCCUGAACUGGCAGGCUCGAGUGCGGUAGAGGAAGGUGGAAUUCCCAGUGUAGCGGUGAAAUGCGCAGAUAUUGGGAAGAACACCGAUGGCGAAGGCAGCCUUCUGGGCCGCCACUGACGCUGAGGCGCGAAAGCUAGGGGAGCGAACAGGAUUAGAAACCCCAGUAGUCC